rnacentral:rRNA from 1 species
UACGGAGGAUGCGAGCGUUAUCCGGAUUCAUUGGGUUUAAAGGGUGCGCAGGCGGGCCUUUAAGCCGGCGGUGAAAUCGCGGGGCUCAACCCCGCCGAGCCGUCGGAACUGGGGGCCUUGAGUGCGGCGGAGGCAUGCGGAAUGCGCGGUGUAGCGGUGAAAUGCAUAGAUAUCGCGCAGAACCCCGAUUGCGAAGGCAGCGUGCCGUGCCGCCACUGACGCUGAGGCACGAAAGCGCGGGGAUCGAACAG